GGGUAGUAUAGCUCAGUGGUAGAGCAUUCGACUGCAGAUUGCGAGGUCCUCAGUUCGAACCUGGAUGUUCCCU